AUUGAACGCUAGUGGGAUGCCUUACACAUGCAAGUCGAACGAGUGGCGGACGGGUGAGUAAUUUAUCGGAACGUGCCCAGUAGCGGGGGAUAACUACUCGAAAGAGUGGCUAAUACCGCAUACUAUUGUAUCUGCCGUUAUCGGAUUAGCUAGUUGGUGGGUUAACGGCGCACCAAGGCAACGCUCCGUAGCUGGUUUGAGAGGACGACCAGCCACACUGUGACGUAGACACGGCCCAGACUCCUACGGGAGGCAUCAGUGGGGAAUUUUGGACAAUGGGGGAAACCCUGAUCCAGCCAUCCCGCGUGUAUGAGAAGGCCUUCGGGUUGUAAAGUACUUUUGGCAGAGAAGCGGUAUCUGCAGAAGAAGCACCGGCUAACUACGUGCCAGCAGCCGCGGUAAUUC
rnacentral:rRNA from 1 species